rnacentral:rRNA from 1 species
GUGGGGAAUCUUCCGCAAUGGACGAAAGUCUGACGGAGCGACGCCGCGUGAGUGAAGAAGGCCUUCGGGUCGUAAAGCUCUGUCAUCAGGGGCGAAUGGCCGGUGGAGUGGAAAGCCACCGGAUUGACGGUACCUGAGAAGGAAGCCACGGCUAACUACGUGCCAGCAGCCGCGGUAAUACGUAGGUGGCAAGCGUUGUCCGGAAUUAUUGGGCGUAAAGCGCGCGCAGGUGGGAUCUUAAGUCCAUUUUGAAAGUUCGGGGCUCAACUCCGUGAUGGGAUGGGAACUGGGAUUCUUGAGUACCGGAGAGGAAAGCGGAAUUCCCCGUGUAGCGGUGAAAUGCGUAGAUAUGGGGAGGAACACCAGUGGCGAAGGCGGCUUUCUGGACGGUGUCUGACACUGAGGCGCGAAAGCCAGGGGAGCGAACGGGAUUAGAAACCCGGGUAGUCC